rnacentral:rRNA from 1 species
UACGUAGGGUGCAAGCGUUAAUCGGAAUUACUGGGCGUAAAGCGUGCGCAGGCGGCUUUGCAAGUCAGAUGUGAAAUCCCCGGGCUCAACCUGGGAACUGCAUUUGUGACUGCAUGGCUGGAGUGCGGCAGAGGGGGAUGGAAUUCCGCGUGUAGCAGUGAAAUGCGUAGAUAUGCGGAGGAACACCGAUGGCGAAGGCAAUCCCCUGGGCCUGCACUGACGCUCAUGCACGAAAGCGUGGGGAGCAAACAGG